rnacentral:rRNA from 1 species
GAUGAACGCUAGCGACAGGCUUAACACAUGCAAGUCGAGGGGCAGCGGGGAGUGAGGCUUGCCUUACUCUGCCGGCGACCGGCGCACGGGUGAGUAACACGUAUGCAACCUACCCUUUACAGCGGGAUAACCGGAAGAAAUUUCGCCUAAUACCGCAUAUACUCCUUGGGAGGCAUCUUCCGAGGGGGAAAGAAUUUCGGUGAAGGAUGGGCAUGCGUCGCAUUAGUUAGUUGGCGGUGUAACGGACCACCAAGACGACGAUGCGUAGGGGUUCUGAGAGGAAGGUCCCCCACACUGGUACUGAGACACGGACCAGACUCCUACGGGAGGCAGCAGUGAGGAAUAUUGGUCAAUGGCCGAGAGGCUGAACCAGCCAAGUCGCGUGAGGGAAGAAUGUCCUAUGGAUUGUAAACCUCUUUUGUCAGGGAGCAAAGUCACCCACGUGUGGGUGUUGGAGAGUACCUGAAGAAAAAGCAUCGGCUAACUCCGUGCCAGCAGCCGCGGUAAUACGGAGGAUGCGAGCGUUAUCCGGAUUUAUUGGGUUUAAAGGGUGCGUAGGCGGGUUAUCAAGUCAGCGGUAAAAUCGUGGAGCUCAACUCCAUCCAGCCGUUGAAACUGAUGAUCUUGAGUGGGCGAGAAGUAUGCGGAAUGCGUGGUGUAGCGGUGAAAUGCAUAGAUAUCACGCAGAACUCCGAUUGCGAAGGCAGCAUACCGGCGCCCGACUGACGCUGAAGCACGAAAGCGUGGGUAUCGAACAGGAUUAGAUACCCUGGUAGUCCACGCAGUAAACGAUGAAUACUAAUUGUGUGCUCCGAAUGAGGAGUGCGUGAUACAGCGAAAGCGUUAAGUAUUCCACCUGGGGAGUACGCCGGCAACGGUGAAACUCAAAGGAAUUGACGGGGGCCCGCACAAGCGGAGGAACAUGUGGUUUAAUUCGAUGAUACGCGAGGAACCUUACCCGGGCUCAAACGCAGGAGGGAUGUUUUUGAAAGGAGGCAGCUCUACGGAGUCUCCUGCGAGGUGCUGCAUGGUUGUCGUCAGCUCGUGCCGUGAGGUGUCGGCUUAAGUGCCAUAACGAGCGCAACCCCUACCGCCAGUUGCCAACGGGUAAAGCCGGGAACUCUGGCGGGACUGCCGGCGCAAGCUGUGAGGAAGGCGGGGAUGACGUCAAAUCAGCACGGCCCUUACGUCCGGGGCGACACACGUGUUACAAUGGCAGGUACAGCGGGAAGCCACUUGGCGACAAGGCGCGGAACCCGAAAACCUGUCUCAGUUCGGAUUGGAGUCUGCAACCCGACUCCAUGAAGCUGGAUUCGCUAGUAAUCGCGCAUCAGCCACGGCGCGGUGAAUACGUUCCCGGGCCUUGUACACACCGCCCGUCAAGCCAUGGAAGCCGGGGGUGCCUGAAGUGCGUGACCGCAAGGAGCGCCCUAAGGUAAAACCGGUGACUGGGGCUAAGUCGUAACAAGGUAGCCGUACCGGAAGGUGCGGCUGGAACACCUCCUUUCUGGAGUUGCUUCAGAGCUGCCUGAUAACGUCGAGACCGACAGUCCGGAGGUGAUUUUGAUACAGAGUCAGCACUUGUCGCUGUCUGCUUUGUCUGUUGUAUUUAUAUAGCAUUAUCCCUGGCGGCUGCAGAGCCGGCGCGGGCUGAAGUGCAGUCCCUUAGCUCAGUUGGUUAGAGCGCUACACUGAUAAUGUAGAGGUCGGCAGUUCAACUCUGCCAGGGACUACAAAAGAGACUCAUACAAGAGACUUCAGAGGACAUUGACAUAUUGGAAAACUGAAAAAGAUACAAACGAGCGUUUUGGCUGUGUUCGGGCGACCGGAUGCAGGCAAAAUAAGAAAAGGUAAACAAAAAGGAGAGAAGGGCACAUGAAGGAUGCCUUAGGCUCCUGGAGGCGAAGAAGGACGUGACAAGCUGCGAUAAGCCACGGUAAGAGGCAAAUACUCAUCAAGCCGUGGAUUUCCGAAUGGGGCAACCCGAUGCGAGCGAUUGCAUCACCGUCAAAGACGGGGCGAACCCGGGGAACUGAAACAUCUCAUUACCCGGAGGAAAAGAAAACAAAAGUGAUUGCGCAAGUAGUGGCGAGCGAACGCGCAGAAGCCCAAACCCAUGAUGUGGCAACGCAUCUAUGGGGGUUGUAGGACCGCCAACAAAGAGGUCAUAAAGGUUAGCCGAAAGCGUUGGAAAGCGCUGCCGUAGCGGGUGACAGCCCCGUAGGCGAAAACCUGAAUGAAAUCGAGGCGGCACCUGAGUAGCGCGGGACACGAGAAAUCCUGUGUGAAUCUGCGGGGACCAUCCCGUAAGGCUAAAUACUUCCAGGAGACCGAUAGCGAACC